rnacentral:rRNA from 1 species
CGAGCCCAAGCUUAAAACCCAAAGGACUUGACGGUGUCCCACCCACCUAGAGGAGCCUGUUCUAUAAUCGAUUCUCCCCGAUAAACCUCACCACUUUUAGCCUUUUCAGCCUGUAUACCUCCGUCGUAAGCUUACCAUAUGAACGCUAACUAGUGAGCUUAAAGAUCUUUUCAUCAAUACGUCAGGUCAAGGUGCAGCUUACGAAGUGGGAAGCAAUGGGCUACAAUUUCUAACAUAGAACACACGAAAGACUACAUGAAACACAGUCAUGAAGGCGGAUUUAGCAGUAAAAAGAAAAUAGAGAGUUCUUUUUAAUUAGGCGCUGGGACGCGUACACACCGCCCGUCACCCUCUUCAAACGCCCAUAAACGUUAAUUAACACCUAACCGCACAAUAGAAGAGGUAAGUCGUAACACGGUAAGCGUACUGGAAAGUGCGCUUGGACUAACAA